AAAUAACAGGAAGUUUGUUUCAUGUGAUGUACAUACUUGAAUAUAUAUAAAUUUACUUUGCCUUACUUACUACUAAACUCUAGCUAAGCCUCUGUACUUUACAUCCACAGUAUACUGAGCAUCCUGUUGUUCUUGUUCUGCAACAGUUUGUUCAGAUAGCAAAUACCAGAACCUGUUUGAGUUGUGCUUAGCCUUCUGCCUGGCUUCUUUCUAGUUUGUAGUAUCUAAAGUAGAUUGAAGCCUAUUUAGUGUUUCUUUUAUAAUCUGUGAUAUAGGUCAGUAUGAGUCCAUGUUUCAUUCAGCUGGGCAGUGUAUUGUAAAGGGUUAUUGGAUAUUGUAGCCAGGAUACUAAGGACUUGUUAACAUCCCUUCAGUGAGACAGCUUUAAGAGCUGGUUAGUCUGAUGGGAGAAGACAGACCACCAACUCUUUCCAGCUUUUUUCCCCCUUCUUUGUAAUUUAAAUUCUCAAAUUCUAAAUAGUCUUAUGAAUUUUUUUAAAAUUACAAUUAGCCAGGUGUCCCACAUGCUUAUUAAAAUAAUGCUUUUGAACUGGAUGUAUAAAUCAGUGUGACAGUGCUUACUUAGCAUGGGACAGUUGUGGGUUCAGUCCUUAGCUCUGCCAGAAAGAAGAGAACACCUUCAAAAUAUUUUUAGAGGAUAUUCUGCUAUGCAGUGUAUUUUGUUGCUACUCAAGAUCUGGGGCUUAAGUUUAUAUUUAAAAAAAAAUUACUGAGUUUUUUAAGUCUCCAGAAGAAAUUUUGGAGGCCAGCGAGAUAGCUAACAGUAGGUAAGAAGGCACUGCAGCCAUACCUCACAGCCUGAGUUCUGAGUACCAGUGGACAGGCUGCUCUUUGUCCACAUGUGCACAAAACACAAAUAAAAUGUAUUUAAUUUUUGAAAGAAGUCGUUUUUCAGUAACAGUACUUAUGAGAAGCUUAGAAAUUUAAAAAUGUACCUGGGCCAUUACAUUUUUGUCAUGUUAAAGGGUUCAUUAAUCGUUUAAGAGUAAAAAGUACCUCAGAACAGGACCUUCUAAUGCCUAAUUGUAUAACAAAGGCUGUGGUGCUUACAUAAAUGCUAUUGUGACCUCUAGAGGGCCUUUUUGUUUUUAAUUUAUGUUUUUAUGCACAUUGGUGUUUUGCCUGCACAUAUGUCUGUGUGAGGAUGUCAGAUCCAGGAGUUACAGACAGUUGUGAGCUGCCAUGUGGGUGUGGGUGUGGGUGUUGGGAAUUAAACCCUGGUCCUCUGGAAGGGCAUUCAGUGUUCAGUGCUCUUAACCUGAGCCAUCUCAGCCCAGGGGAGGGUCUGUUUUAUAGAAAGGAAAGGCAACAGAAAAAACAGGAUUUGAACCAGCCCCUGAGACCGGUUACAAGCAAAAUUAAUUUUUUUCCUGUAAGUAAAUAUGUUGUUCCAUGCUUCUGUCUAGGCAUUUAAGAGUCUAAGAUAUGAAAGACUUAACACUGGAUAACUAAAUGGAAAUGCCAUUGACCAGGAAAAUAAUGGGUGGAGUUCUUGUUAAAUAUAUCUUUUGGAUAUUAAACUUCAAGAAAGGGGUCCCAGGAUAGGGUGUUUACCUAGCACUAGGCCCUGGUUCAAUUCCAGCACUGCAACUCAAGUUUGGUUGUACAUGCCAAUAUAUACUUGGGAGAUAAAGGCUGGAGAAGUGGGAUAUCUUACUGCAUAACAAACUGGUAUGAAUAUAUACUUUUGUAAGAUUGAGCUAAUUCUUUGUAUUAAUAACUAAGUCUUAAGUAGAUGGAUAAACCAAAUCUUCAUUUC
rnacentral:lncRNA from 1 species